GAGUUUGAUCCUGGCUCAGAACGAACGCUGGCGGCGUGGAUUAGGCAUGCAAGUCGAACGAGAAAGAUCGCUUCGGCGAUCAAGUACAGUGGCAAACGGGUGAGUAACGCGUGGGAAACCUGCCCUUUGGUUGGGGACAACACUCCUAACGGGGUGCUAAUACCGAAUAAGCUCUUAGUGUCGCAUGGCACAUAGAGGAAAGGCGGCCUCUGCUUGCAAGCUGUCACCAAAGGAUGGUCCCGCGUCCCAUUAGUUAGUUGGUGAGGUAAUGGCUCACCAAGACGUCGAUGGGUAGCCGGCCUUAGCGGGUGAUCGGCCACACUGGGACUGAGAUACGGCCCAGACUCCUACGGGAGGCAGCAGUCGAGAGGCAUCCACAAUGGGGGAAACCCUGAUGGUGCGACGCCGCGUGGGGGAUGAAGGUUUUCGGAUCGUAAACCCCUUUCAGCAGGGACGAAGAGAUUAAUGGUUAAUAUCCAUUGGUACCAGACGGUACCUGCAGAAGAAGCUCCGGCUAACUCCGUGCCAGCAGCCGCGGUAAUACGGAGGGAGCAAGCGUUGUUCGGAUUUACUGGGUGUAAAGGGCGUCUAGGCGGGCUAAUAAGUCAGGUGUGAAAUCCUCCGGCUCAACCGGAGAACUGCACUUGAUACUGUUAGUCUUGAGUUCGGAAGAGGAGAGCGGAAUUCCUGGUGUAGCGGUGAAAUGCGUAGAUAUCAGGAAGAACACCGGUGGCGAAGGCGGCUCUCUGGUCCGAAACUGACGCUGAAGCGCGAAAGUGUG
rnacentral:rRNA from 1 species